CCUGGUGGUAACAGCUCAUAAUGAAUAAUGCCCUUCCAAUCCCACAACACACACAGCAUCACCUUGUUGCGAGUUAGCCCGAGUUUCGUCACAGUCUGUGUCGAUGCACGGACAUCGACGAUCGCGCGGCGCGGGCGCCGGGAGGAGGACAGCGGCGCGGGUUGAAGUAUCGUUCGUCACUUCGUGCAGCAACGCCGCCCGCGACACUUACUUGUUUUCGUCUUGUUUUGCUCUUUUUAUAAACUUACCAAAUAAUACAGUCCACUCUUUUAUUUUAUACAUCACCGGUCUACCCCAGAGCAGUUCGAAACAUGGUCCUUUAGUUUUGUCAGCUUAAAACUCACCGGAAUAAAACCUGUACAACAAACUGUCGGCGUUGGUUGGCCAUUUAAAAACGAACGGACGUUUUACUGUUCACUACGUUGAAGCUGCAAGGAGUCGUGAAUAUUGGACUUCGGAAUAUUGGACGGAUUGCAUACCUGAGUGAGUUCGUUCCAAUCAGACAACCUUUAUUCCCUCAUAUUUUUGCCGUUUAGCGCAUUCAAUUUUUUACCUAAUUUUCGCCUCAAUUUGCCAAGAUAAAAACUACCCUCAUCUUACAAUCAAAAUUCAUUCUUAUUCUUUAAUUCUUAUUUAAUUAUUCUUAUUAUUUCUGUUUAUUUUGCUUAUUAUAAUACAUUAUGAGCCAACAUUCUGAGGAUUUAGAUACUCUUAUUAAGCGACGAGGUGCAAUUAAAGCCAAACUUACUAUUUUCAGAAAUUAUAUUAAACCUCUUACUAGUUUUUCUAGCUUGACCGACUUACAACGUUUUGAGUUGGAAGGACGUUAUGAGCGUAUUCAGUGUUUAUACAACGACUUCGACAAGUUACAGACGGAGAUCGAGACGUUGUUGGACGCACCCGAUGACGACUUUAAAUCCCGGUGUGAGUUCGAGGACCAAUACCAUCCUGCGGUGGCACUGGCGCGAAGCCUGCUUUCAGCAACUACCAACUCAGAAGGUUCAGGUAGGGUACACACAAAUGUUCGAUUGCCCAAAAUUGAUUUGCCACAUUUUGAUGGUAGCGUUCAGGGUUGGCUCGAAUUCAAAGAUACCUACAUUUCCCUCAUCCAUAAUAAUAAAUGUAAUGAUGAUAUUAUGAGAUUUCAUUACCUUCGGUCCUUGUUCGAGAUCGUACUCGUAUUACUGAUGGACGAGUAGAGGACGAUGAUAUGCAAAUUUGCAGUCAUGCGAUUGGUCAUCCAUAUUGUUCCCCUUUACCCCCCAAUCCUCGAUUCGUGUAAUACACACCAUUUUUAUUCAUGUAAAAAAGUUUGAACAAUAAACACCUAACUGUAGAAAAAUACGCCACAGACAAAACAGUUUUAUUUCUCGGAAACCAAAUUCACAAAGCCUCUCAACCAGCAAACAAAAUCGCAAGCCGCACCAUUUUUUGGACCAUCGAGCCAAAUUCAAGAUUCAGCGACCAUUGGAAUCAUUGCAAGUGGCGGUAGUUAUUUGCUGGAAGACGAAGACGCGCUGCUUUGGAUGAAUUUUGGACUACGGCCUACACAAAGGACAACUGGAGGCCAAGCGCACAUCGGUAUCGAAGUAUUAUUGGCUUUCAUCGAAUAUCAUACGCAAUCCGGUGGGGUCAAUCAUUCCUUCAUUCCAUCACCUCCUGUUCUCUUUGUGCAAUACUGUGUCUAAACUGAUUUCAGUACGAUUGCCGCAUAGAAGUUUCGAGUUUUCGCAGUUUACCGUCAAUCACGAAGCUGGUGACGUUGCUAGCACUAGUGUCGUGGUUUUAGACUGCCUGACUAAUAGCUGUAAGUACAUCUCUUUUCAUUUACCACCAAUAUGCCAACUGAUUCCGUUAAAUCUCGUGAUAAAUCCCCCAACCUGCUAAGUGCAGAAAGUAAUGAUCUAGUUCGCGCCCUUGUUAAAAAACGCGGCAUAAUUAAAUGCAGACUGACUAAAUUUACAAACCAUAUAACAUCGCUAGAGAAUAGUGACGAACGUGUCUUUAAUAAUGAAAUUCGUAUAGAUUUAAAGUUGAGAAUUCAAGGUGCCGCUACUUUGUUUUCCGAAUUUAACGACAUUCAAACAAAGAUUGAAGAAAAUGUUUCUGAAAGUGAAUUAGCGGGUCAGUGUGAUCAACGAGAACUCUUUGAGAACAGCUACUAUAGUACAUUAGCUCACGCAGAAUCUAUGCUAAAUAAUGAUGAGGUCAUGAGCUGUUCCAAGUCUUGUCACAAUUCUAAUCGCGAAGCACCAGUAAAACUACCCACUAUUUCCAUGCCUACUUUCGACGGUGCCUAUGAGCACUGGCUUGAGUUCAGAGAUACAUUUACGUCGCUUGUUCAUAAUUGUAAAGAUAUUUCCAGUAUUAAAAAAUUUCACUACUUAAAAUCUUGUCUAAAGGGUAAUGCAGAACUAGUGAUUCAUUCCAUCGAAUUUUCUUCUGAUAAUUAUGAGGUUGCAUGGGAGUUGAUAUUAAAUAGGUAUAACAAUUGUAGGCUGUUAGUGCACAACCACGUAAAGGCUUUGUUUACUCUUCCCACACUAGCCAAAGAAUCUCCUAUUUUAAUUAGAAAUUUAAUCGACACUAUUUCAAAGAAUUUACGCGCACUAAAAAUACUUGGUGAACCCACAGACAGUUGGGAUACACUGAUCAAUUAUAUUAUCGUGUCAAAAUUAGAUAGGAUUACUGAACGCGAAUGGGAGACACACAAGUGCACUUUAUUCUCGAACGAAAAUAAUUCUAAAAAUACGAUAAAGUUGGAUGAAUUAAUUCGGUUUCUCAAACAUCGCGCGGACAUGUUGGAAACAUUGAAGCUUUCACAUAGUAAAGAUACGACAUCAACAAUCAUUGAAAACAAAAAACAACAUAAAUAUAACUAUACAACACACUGCAAUGUUUCCAACAGCCCGAAUAAGUCGUACGAUCGUCAAUUACGCGGUAAAGCACUGUGUGUUAAAUGCAACGCGAAUCAUCCACUUUAUUCUUGCAAUAAGUUUAUAGAAAGCGAUUUAGAAUCAAAGUUAAAACUUAUACGGGUACAUAAUUUAUGUAAGAAUUGUUUACGUUCGGGACACACACUAAAUAACUGCAGAUUUGGGCCGUGUAGAAAAUGCGACAAAAAACAUAACUCGCUAAUUCAUAAUGAUAACUCUGCUAGUGACAUAUCGUUCCAUACUACAACGAGUACUGAAGGAGAUAAAAUAACCGAUGAUGUGCGAGCGCCUCGUGUGCCCGCGCCCGCGACCCCCGCUGCCUGCACUGACUCGCUUCGUAUCCAGGUAAACAAAUCACACAUGCAAACACAAUGCAAUGAAUCUGCAAGUGUGCAGUCUAUUUUAUUAUCCACGGCUGUUGUCGAAGUAGCCGAUGUACAUGGUACCUAUCAUAAAGCGCGAGCACUACUCGACAGCGGAAGCCAACGGUGCUUUAUUUCAAAAUCAUUAUGCCAAUUAUUAAAUACGCGAUUAAUACAGUCCACAAACGAAGUACAAGGCGUAGGUGAUACGGUCAUAUAUUCUACUCAAGCUUGUAACAUCGUUGUUAAGUCUUGCAUCGAUAAUACGUUCACUACGCGCAUUCAUUGUUACGUGCUAUCGAAAAUCACAGCCUCGGUGCCCAUCGUAUGUCAAUUAGGCGCGCAGUUCUGUUUUCCAGACAACAUACGGUUGGCCGAUCCUGAUUUUUUAGGUUCUAGACCCAUUGACAUCUUAAUAGGUGCAGACCUGUUUUGGGAUCUAUUAGGAGAAGGAAAGAUUCGACUACCUAAUGGUCCGUACUUACAAAAUACUAGCUUAGGUUGGAUUAUUUCUGGUCCAAUUAACAAUAGUUACACGCAAAAAAAUACGCAAAUACAUUGCAAUUUUACUAACGCCUUAGAUACGCAACUUCGAUUGUUCUGGGAGAUCGAGGAAUUACCUAAGAUCAGAGACGCGCAGACUGAGGAAGAACGUGCAUGCGAGGAACACUUCAUUCGCACUACUACACGCAACAGCGAAGGGAGGUUUUGUGUGCGUGUUCCGCUCAAUCAGUCACCUGAAGUCUUGGGCGAUUCGUAUACGCAAGCAGAGCGUCGGUUUUUAGCGUUAGAAAAACGACUGCAGCGCUCACCUGAGUAUAAACGUUUAUAUUCCAAUUUUAUGCAGGAAUAUCAGAGUUUGGGUCACAUGACGCAGGUAGAUUCCUAUGAAUCCCCGUGUUAUUUUAUGCCACAUCACGGUGUGUUCCGUGAGCUCAGCACCACCACCAAGCUGCGAGCGGUGUUUGAUGCUAGCGCACCAUCCAGCUCCGGUAAGUCACUUAAUGACUUGCAGUUGGUCGGUCCUCCUAUACAGGGCGAUCUUGUUUCAAUUCUUCUCCGUUUUAGACAGCACAAGUACGUUGCAUGCGCCGACGUGGAGAAGAUGUACAGGCAAUGUUUAGUAGACGAGGACCAACGCAGUUUGCAAAUGAUUUUGUGGCGUGACGAACCGUCGAAUCCAUUAAGGACAUUUAAAUUAAAUACGGUGACAUACGGAACCUCCUCCGCGCCUUUCUUAAGCGUUAGAUGUUUAAAGCAAUUAGCGGUCGAAUCCUCUGACCCUGACGUCACGCGAGUCAUACAAGAAGAUUUUUAUGUCGAUGAUUAUAUAACCGGGCUGGACAAUAAAGAUAAAUUAAUACAAUUAUGUGAUAAAACACAAAAGACACUUCAGGGUGGCUGUUUUCCACUGCGGAAGUGGAUAUUUAAUUUUGCGCGCGAUGAUAACAGCCAAUCACCCAAUCAGUCAAAACUAUUAACUCCAGUUGAAAAUAAUACACCUUCUAAAACCUUGGGAUUAAUUUGGUGUAAUCUAAGUGACGAAUUUUAUUUUAAUAAUAUGCAAAUUAAUGUUAGUAUGGAACCCAUCACAAAACGGUCUAUUUUAUCUAACGUUUCUCAAAUUUUCGACCCUCUAGGCUUACUAAGUCCCGUUAUAAUUGUUGCGAAGGUGCUUUUACAACAAUUGUGGCUACUUAAAAUGGGCUGGGACGACACAGUUCCCGAUCAUAUAGCGCGAGUAUGGAACCGGUUUGAUAAUUCACUACAAGUGCUCGACACAAUCCGUAUACCUCGCCACGUUAUAGGUGUGCAACGUAUGUAUAUUGAACUGCAUGUUUUUAGUGACGCGUCUCAGACAGCGUAUGGUGCGUGCAUUUAUAUUCGCACAGUUAGUACUGACUCGACUGUAUCGGUGAGAUUAUUAAUUUCAAAAACAAAGGUCGCGCCGCUGAAAACAUUAAGUAUACCGCGUCUCGAACUUUGUGGAGCUUUAUUGGGGGCUAGAUUGUAUGACAAGGUGCGUAAUUCAUUGCAUUGGAAGUUUAAUAACGUUGUUUUCUGGACGGAUUCGAGUAUAGUGUUAGGCUGGUUACACAUGCCGCCUUAUCGACUCAAGGUGUUUGUACAAAAUAGGACUGCGGAAAUUCAUGAAUUAACGCAAAACUUUCCUUGGCGUCACGUAAACGGCGAAAAUAAUCCUGCUGAUCUUGCAUCACGCGGUGUUAGCUUAGAAGAUCUUUCUUCUUCUGUCUCAUGGUGGGAGGGACCGGAAUUUCUUAAAACUCAUACCUUUUCUAUAGAGAAUCACAAAGAUGCCGAUUCAUUUAAACAUAGUGAGCUACCUGAAGUCAAAUCAGUCGUUACAACUGCUGAAGUUUGCAAUUCCUGUGAAUCAUCAGUGUUCCCCUUUCACAGGUUUUCACAAUUCAAACGUAUGCGUCGCACGAUGGCAUUUAUAUUAAGGUUCAUACAUAAUAGUCGUUUUAAAUAUAACAAGCGCACAUGUCAUCUCAGUGUGGAUGAAUUAGAUUAUGCUGAAAAAACAUUAGUACGAUUAUCUCAAAUGGAAUAUUAUCCGUCUGAAUAUGCACUGUUGUCUGGUAGCGGCCUGGUUAAGGGUAAAGGUCAUUUGUCAAAACUAAAUUUAUUUUUAGACGAUCAGAAAAUAAUGCGCGUAGGCGGUCGUUUAGUUAAUUCUGAUGAAUUUACCUAUGACAAAAAACAUCCGAUUUUGAUUUCGAGCAAACACUAUUUUGCUCUUCUACUAUUUCGGCAUGAGCAUAUUCAGCUUCUUCACGCGGCUCCGCAAGCGUUACUCUUCCAUGUCCGCGAAACCUGGUGGCCUAUAGGGGGUAGGAAUUUAGCUCGCCAAGUAGUACACGGCUGUGUUACGUGUACGCGUAUUAGAGGUACGACCCUUACCCCGAUGAUGGGCAACCUACCCAAAGAACGAAUUACUCCUAGUUUACCGUUUGUUCGAUGUGGAGUAGAUUAUGCUGGCCCAAUAUUCAUACUGAACCGCAAAGGUAGGGGCGCAAAACCUGUAAAGGGUUAUAUUUGUUUAUUUAUUUGUUUCGUGACACGCGCAAUUCACUUGGAGUUGGUAAGUGACCUCUCGAGUGAAGCUUACUUAUUAACUUUAAAACGGUUUAUCUCACGACGCGGUAAGCCUUCAGAAAUAUUUUCUGAUAACGGUCGCAAUUUUGUAGGUCUUAUGAAUGACUUUACCAACUUCUUACGCAGAUGUAGUGGAGAGAUUUUAGAAUAUGCCAUUAGUCAAAGAAUUAAAUUUCGUUUUAUUCCACCUUAUUCUCCGCAUUUUGGUGGUUUAUGGGAAGCAGGUGUAAAAUCAUGCAAGAAUCAUCUUACUCGCAUUGUAGGAAACGCGCACCUGACAUUCGAAGAGUAUAGCACAGUAUUAGCGCAAAUAGAAGCUGUAUUAAACUCUCGACCUUUGUCCCCUCUUUCCUCUGAUCCACAGGAUUUUUCACCGCUUACACCAAGCCAUUUCCUGAUUGGUCGACCACUUACUGCUCCAGUCUGCGAUGACGUACGCGAUGUACCAAUUAGCCGCCUACAGCGAUACCAGAGGUUGGAACUACUUCGUCAACAGUUUUGGAAUCGAUGGACUAAAGAAUAUAUUUCUGAGCUGCAGGUGCGAGCAAAGUGGACCGUGAAUAAAGAUGAUUUGAAGCCCAAUUCGUUAGUGGUGAUAAAGGACAACAAUCUUCCUCCGCUGAAGUGGCGCUUGGGACGUGUGGUUCGCACAAUACCAGGUUCAGACGGCAUUUCCCGAGUGGCUGACAUACGGACGGCAGCGGGUGUGGUGAGACGCACCUUUUCGAAAAUUUGUCCUCUCUUCCAAGAUGUGGAUGAAACGCAAGAACAUUGAAAGCCACUGCUUCCAAGGCCGGGGGCAUGUUCGAGAUCGUACUCGUAUUACUGAUGGACGAGUAGAGGACGAUGAUAUGCAAAUUUGCAGUCAUGCGAUUGGUCAUCCAUAUUGUUCCCCUUUACCCCCCAAUCCUCGAUUCGUGUAAUACACACCAUUUUUAUUCAUGUAAAAAAGUUUGAACAAUAAACACCUAACUGUAGAAAAAUACGCCACAGACAAAACAGUUUUAUUUCUCGGAAACCAAAUUCACCAAGCCUCUCAACCAGCAAACAAAAUCGCAAGCCGCACCAGUCCUGUUUACGCGGCAGCGCGGCUUUAGUUAUUAAAAAUAUAGAUUUUACCAGUGAAAAUUACAAUAACGCUUGGGACUUGCUAUGUCAGCGGUACGACAAGGACCAGCUGUUAAUACACAACCACGUUCAAGCGUUGUUUAGUGUUGCACCGUGCUCCAAAGAGUCCAGUAAAAGCUUGCGCUACCUUAUUGAUGUCACAAAUAAAAAUAUUAGGGCAUUAAAAACUUUAAAGCAGCCAACUGAACAUUGGGACACAUUAAUCAUCUUUAUGAUCUCACAGAAACUAGACAGCAGCACAAGCCGAUACUGGGAGGAGCAUCGUAACAAACUUUCAGAGCCCCCUACUUUAAAUCAAUUUAUUUUUUUUAUUGAAAAUCAAAUUAACCUACUUGAAAAAAUAGAAGAAAACAGUAAAAUCAACCUUAAAUCUAAAGAAACAAAUAACAAUAAUUACAAUAACAAAUCUACAAAUUACAUCAUACAAUCUAAUAGCAAUCAAAUUCAAUCAAAUAAUUCUAAAUGUCCAUUAUGUAAUGAAAAUCACUUGCUUUACACCUGUGAAACAUUCAGGAGCUUACCUACUGAGGUGCGCAUUGAAAAGGCAAAGAAAUUUAAAGUUUGUAUAAAUUGCUUACGCUUAGGUCAUACUGAUAGAACGUGCAAGCUAUCCCAUUGCAAGUACUGCAAAGCACGACACAAUACCCUUUUACAUUCAGAGCCUGAGCGUAGCGCAGCGUCAAACCCCAUGCCAGGCGCUGAUAAUGUUGCUUUUUCAGCCAAUUUUGAACACAGUAAUACAGCUUCUUUUAUAUUGCUUUCCACAGCUAUGGUGAGAGUGGGUGGUGCCGAUGGCACUAAGCACCCCGCCCGAGUUUUGCUGGACAACGUAAAAGCUGUUCAUAUCGAGCUCGUCACCGCAUUGUCAUCGGAGGCGUACAUAGCUGCUCUCAAAAGAUUCGUGUCUCGUCGAGGCAAGCCCCGCAGCAUAUGGUCCGACAAUGGGACAAAUUUUGUUGGUGCUUGCAACGAACUCAAAGGCGUCCUUUCAAACUCAGACAUUGCGUCAUUCAUGUCUCAAGAAGGCAUAGAUUUUAAUUUUUCUCCACCUUAUUCCCCUCAUUUUAAUGGUCUGGCUGAAGCAGCGGUUAAGGCCACUAAAGGCCAUCUCAAAAAACUCCUCAGUCUUACUCACCUCACGUAUGAAGAAAUGUCUUCGUGCUUAUGUCAAAUUGAGGCCAUUCUAAAUUCCCGUCCACUUACUCCUAUUUCCUCUGAUCCGUUAGAUUUAACUGCCCUUACUCCUGCUCACUUUCUGAUUGGACGACCGCUCACGUCAGUUCCGCACCCGCAGAUUACCGACGGCAACAUCACGCGCUUGGAGCGCUACCAACGAGUGGAACUCAUCAGGCAGCAUUUUUGGAAGCGCUUUAUUAAUGAAUACAUUUCUCUGCUGCAGCAGAAAUCUAAAUGGUCCACCUCUACAGGGAGCUUGAUACCAGGGACGCUAGUCCUUGUGAAGGACAGGACGCUACCGGCUCUGUUGUGGCCUUUGGGCCGCAUUACCAUGACGUAUCCGGGCAGCGACGGCAUCACACGGGUCGCAGAGGUCAAGAUGAGGACGGGGACCGUGGUGCGAGGCUUCAACUCCAUCUGCCCCCUCCCUCUUCAUUGAAGUACCCAUAUAUACUUCAACCCGGGCAGUCUGUCGAUGCACGGACAUCGACGAUAGCGCGGCGCGGGCGCCGGGAGGAGGACAGCGGCGCGGGUUGAAGUAUCGUUCGUCACUUCGUGCAGCAACGCCGCCCGCGACACUUACUUGUUUAUCUUGUUUUACCUUUUUUAUAAACUUACCAAAUACUACA